rnacentral:rRNA from 1 species
UGGUGGAGUGAUUUGUCUGCUUAAUUGCGAUAACGAACGAGACCUUAACCUACUAAAUAGCCCGGCCAGCUUUCGCUGGUCGCUGGCUUCUUAGAGGGACUAUCGGCUCAAGCCGAUGGAAGUUUGAGGCAAUAACA